rnacentral:rRNA from 1 species
UAGCGAAGGGGGCUAGCGUUGCUCGGAAUCACUGGGCGUAAAGGGCGCGUAGGCGGCCAUUCAAGUCGGGGGUGAAAGCCUGUGGCUCAACCACAGAAUUGCCUUCGAUACUGUUUGGCUUGAGUAUGGUAGAGGUUGGUGGAACUGCGAGUGUAGAGGUGAAAUUCGUAGAUAUUCGGAAGAACACCAGUGGCGAAGGCGGC